rnacentral:tRNA from 1 species
GCCGGAAUAGCUCAAUUGGAAAUCAGACUGAAGUUGUGUACGCAACAAUCAUCUAAAGGCCCCCGGUUCAAUCCCGGGUUCCGGCA